AGUUUUUAUGUUAAUACUAUGUAUUUAUUUCUCAUUUAUUUUCUAUCUCCCUAAUGACAAACAUUAGCUAUCUGAUGGCUGGGACCAUAUCCAUCUUGCUUCCUGCUUGUGGCAGGACAUUUUCAGCUGCAUGUGACAGAUGAAGCAAUGAAACGUGAUUUAGACAAUCAAGGACAUCUGUGUCCCCACAUAAAUGCACAUUCAGCAGCUCAGCAACAUCAGAGCCUGAGGUUGACAUUUGUUCUUCUCACACCAAAGAAUGGCUGCCGCAGCUCCAGCCUUCACAUCCAACUCAACCAUGUCAGAAGGAAGAGAAAGGACUUUGAUCUUCACAUCUGUUUAGAAUCUUCCAGAAUCCCUAGUCAACUUCCCCUUUUCUAUCCCUGGCCAGACAAGAUCAAGGGUCCACCCCUAAACCAAAGUAGAAGAGGAUGAGCGCAGUUGGCUCUGAUCAGUCAUGAUUUCUCCCUGGAGGGGAGGAUGAACUCAGCUUCCUAGAGCAUGUGCUCCCUGAUGGGUUCACAAAAUGAGACCCUGAGAUCAAGGAGGAAAAGGGUAUGUGACUAUUAGGUGAAAACUCUGGAAUGAUUGCCUCAAUUCUGUACCCCCUGCACCUAGAACAGGGACGGACUCAGAGCAGAUGUUCAAUAAAUGCAUGCCGAUUGGAUGGUAGAAUAUUUGUGCCUUUACAGAGGAUAGGUGUCAGAGAGAGCAGAACCAGAAUAAUGUGCUGUAACUCAGGCCCAGUAAGUGUCAACGUUUUUGCAUGCAGUACACGACUCCAAACACACACACACACACACACACACACACACACACACACACACACAGAAGCAGAGAGUAUUGUCCUGAUUUUACAGAUUAAGAAAUCGAGGUACAGGGAAGUCAAAUAAUUUUACCAAGGACACAUAGCUGUAAAAGAUGGUAAAGUUAGGAUUUGAACCCCAAAAAGUCUGUGUUUCUUCCCCUAGAAGAACCAAUGCUAGUGAAAGCGUUGGAGAGGUAGAGGGUAGUUCUUUCUUUGAAGUGAGAGGGAGGGAGAAAGCGUGGAAAAUAUUCAGGUCCAAGGGGAGAACGUGGACAAUCUCAUGUCAGAUGGCCUCAGUCUUUUCAGUAAGUCACCCUCAGAGUCACCUGCUGAUGAGUAGGAUGAAGCUCAGACAGAAGUGGAAAUGGAUUGGCGUGAACACGGGGAAGACGGAGAUGGUGACCAGGCAGAGAAGAACAGUGGAGAUGGUACAAUGAGCUUAUGAACUGCUCUGGCCCAGGUGGAGGAAGAGACAAAUCUGGCGCUCAGAGAAAAAGCAGCAGUGAGUUGGGGCCAGAAUCACUGAUCCACUGAGACAGGCUGUGGAGACAGAGGCACACAUAUAGCCCGCAGGAAGAAGAGCAGGAGGAGUAGGACACAGGGCAAGGUUGCCCAAGGCGAAGCUUGCAGACACUGAGCACCCACGGCCUUUCUUCUCGUGGCAACACAUUCCAGUUGCUGACAAAGUUCUAGGAAGAAACGAAUGAUCUCUCCAGUUCCCAGUUGAAAAAGGAAGUGCAAAGUUUGGGAAAGGGGCCCAUUCUUGGACGAUUUAUCUACCACUGAGAAGGGGUCUUAAGGAAGGCACAUCCUUUGUCCUGGUUCCUUCCACAUCACAGAGGGCAGGAGAGCCUCUGGAUUUCUCCAGCUGCAAAGCAACUGAGGCCGGUGAUCUUCCCAUGAUUUCUCACUCAAGUAUUUGCCUUAACCAACAACAUGGCUUUAAUCCAUAAAUGGCCCACAAUGGCUUUGGCUCACAUGCACUCGGUGCUGCCUGGGCUCCUGUUGGGUCGUGAGGUGAGAACAUGGUGCCCUGCCCCCUCGCCCUGCUGCAGUGCCACACACACAGCCACCCUGCCCACCCUACUGCUCCUUCCCACCCUCUGGCCACCCACCUGUCAGAGAAACUCUGCCUCCCUAUGUCCCUCAACUCCCACGGUGGCCUCCCUUCUCCCUAACUCUUCUGUUACACAAACUGAGGCUGAACCUGAAAGCACAUGACAAUGAUGCCAUUUAUCCCCAUCGUUCAAUCACUCAUUCAUCUCUCCCACUGCUCACGGAACCCUGGGCAAGUGACUUAGCCUGUUCGUUAACAUGUGAGAAUUAAAUGAACAAAUCCAUGGCCAUCCAUGGCAUAUUUUACAUGUUCAAUAUGAGUUCAUCAUUAGCACUAUUGUUGUUUUCAUUAUAGUCUAUGUUAUCACUUAUCCAAACAUUUACUGAAAUCAGCUGUGUGUCGGGUACACUCUAGAGAGUAUGCGAGGAAGAACGGCCAAGGAGGCCCAUGUUUCAGCAGCUCAGUGCUGGAAUGGUCUGAACACCACCCCUCUGUCUGUACCUCAGCGGACCAUUUCCUGUAAAGAAAAAAAAUCUUGUCCAAUAAAGCAUUUCUUUGCAGAAGUCUAGAUAUCCUUUGUAUUUUCUUGGGUUAUGACCUCUCGGUCAAUGUGAUUUCUCCCCUUGGGCUAAAGAACUCUGCCAAACAUGGGGAGCAGGCCAUAAUGAGAGAUGGGGUGGUAUGCAUUGUCUGGGAUGCUUUUCUUUGCCUUUGUCAAGUUGCAGAGAAGAAAGGCCUUCUGAGAACAGGGACAGGGCAGUCCCCUAUCCCACAAUGCAGACCUGACACUGCUGCAUCUUCUGGUGACCACACCACCUCGUGGUCACCACUGGAACUCCACCCAACCUCCUAAAGCGUGAAAUUCAGCCACAGUCCUUCUGUCAGAGUGACCUUGAGGGCUACUUGGUGAGUGAUAUGGUUUGGAUUUGUGUCCCCGCCCAAAUCUCAUGUCCAGUUGUAAUCCCCAAUGCUGGAGGAGGGGGCCUGGUGGGAGGUGACUGGAUCACAGGGCAGAUUUCUCCCUUGCUGUUUGCAUGAUAGUGAGUGAGCUCUCAUGAGAUGUAGUUGUUUAAAAAUGCGCAGCACCUCCCUCUUUGCCCUUUUCCUCCUGUUCCUGUUAUGUAAGACAUGCCUGCUUCCCCUUCCCCUUCUGCCAUGAUUGUAAGUUUCCUGAGGCCUCCCCAUCCAUGCUUCCUGUACAGCCUGUGUGAGCCGAUUAAGCCUCUUUUCGUUAUAAACUACCCAGCCUCAGGUAUUUCUUUAUAGCAGUGUGAGAACAGACUACUACAGUGAGCAACACUGUCUAAUUGCGGCAAACAUUCUUAGAAAUUAAAAAGGAAAACAACUCACUCCUCGGAAGACAGUAUGUAAUAGUGGUUCGAGCCAGAUUAGAGUUUCACCUCCAGACGAAUGAGCUGGGUGGCCUUGGGCACAUUACACAACCUCUCUAAGCCAGUUUCCUCAUCUGAACUGGAGUCAUAAUAAUGCCUAUCUCAUAAUGUCGAUAUGAGGCCGGCGUGAAGUUCCAGAUGUGCUGGUUUCAUACAUGGCCAGUUAGUACCUGCCACCCAAGCAUCCUCUGUCUCCUCCUGCCCACACUCUGCCACUGGAUUCAGUGUCAGGAGUGCAAAGUCCAUUCACACACAAGACCCCUCUUGCUUGGGUCCAUGAAAGCUGAUGUUUCCCACACAUUUCUGGAACCA
rnacentral:lncRNA from 1 species